rnacentral:rRNA from 1 species
UGGUGGGGUGACUUGUCUGCUUAAUUGCGAUAACGAACGAGACCUUAACCUGCUAUAUAGCCCGCAUUGCUCCGGCAGUGCGCUGGCUUCUUAGAGGGACUUUCGGCUCAAGCCGAAGGAAGUUUGAGGCAAUAACA